UACGAGUGGUGCAAGCGUUAUUCGGAUUUAUUGGGCGUAAAGGGUGCGUAGGCGGCUUUUCAAGUCACUUGUUAAAUACUCCGGCCUAACCGGAGAUCUGCGGGUGAAACUGAUAAGCUAGAGGGUGGAAGAGAGAAGUGGAAUUCUCGGAGUAGCGGUAAAAUGCGUAGAUCUCGGGAGGAACACCAAUGGCGAAGGCAGCUUCUUGGUCCACACCUGACGCUCAUGCACGAAAGCGUGGGGAGCAAACAGG
rnacentral:rRNA from 1 species